rnacentral:rRNA from 1 species
UACAGAGGUCUCAAGCGUUGCUCGGAUUCAUUGGGCGUAAAGGGUGCGUAGGCGGCGCGGUAAGUCGGGUGUGAAAUUUCGAGGCUUAACUUCGAAACUGCAUUCGAUACUGCCGUGCUAGAGGACUGGAGAGGAGACUGGAAUUUACGGUGUAGCGGUGAAAUGCGCAGAUAUCAGGAGGAACACCGGUGGCGAAGGCGGCUUGCUGGGCCAGUUCUGACGCUGAGGAGCGAAAGCGUGGGGAGCGAACAGG